rnacentral:rRNA from 1 species
UAAUGUAUGGGGAUCUGCCCGAUAGAGGGGAAUAACUACUGGAAACGGUGGCUAAUACCGCAUAAUGUCUACGGACCAAAGCAGGGGCUCUUCGGACCUUGCACUAUCGGAUGAACCCAUAUGGGAUUAGCUAGUAGGUGGGGUAAAGGCUCACCUAGGCGACGAUCUCUGGCUGGUCUGAGAGGAUGAUCAGCCACACUGGGACUGAGACACGGCCCAG